AGGGGUUAUGACGUCGCCUUCACAUGGCGAAGAUCGCCAGUUCAAAUCUGGCCGAGUCCA
rnacentral:tRNA from 1 species